rnacentral:rRNA from 1 species
AUUGAACGCUGGCGGCAGGCCUAACACAUGCAAGUCGAGCGGAUGAAGGGAGCUUGCUCCUGGAUUCAGCGGCGGACGGGUGAGUAAUGCCUAGGAAUCUGCCUGGUAGUGGGGGAUAACGUCCGGAAACGGGCGCUAAUACCGCAUACGUCCUGAGGGAGAAAGUGGGGGAUCUUCGGACCUCACGCUAUAAGAUGAGCCUAGUUCGGAUUAGCUAGUUGGUGGGGUAAAGGCCUACCAAGGCGACGAUCCGUAACUGGUCUGAGAGGAUGAUCAGGCACACGGGAAGUGAGACACGGUCCAGACUCCGACGGGAGGCAGCAGUGGGGAAUACUGGACGAUGGGCGAAAGCGUGAUCCAGCCAUGCCGCGUGUGUGAAGAAGGUCCUAGGAUUGUAAAGCGCUUUAAGUUGGGAGGAAGGGCAGUACGUUAAUACCUUGCUGUUUUGACGUUACCAACAGAAUAAGCACCGGCUAACUUCGUG